rnacentral:rRNA from 1 species
CCUACGGGAGGCAGCAGUGAGGAAUAUUGGUCAAUGGGCGCUAGCCUGAACCAGCCAAGUAGCGUGAAGGAUGACUGCCCUAUGGGUUGUAAACUUCUUUUAUAUGGGAAUAAAGUGCAGCAUGUAUACUGCUUUGCAUGUACCUUAUGAAUAAGGAUCGGCUAACUCCGUGCCAGCAGCCGCGGUAAUACGGAGGAUCCGAGCGUUAUCCGGAUUUAUUGGGUUUAAAGGGAGCGUAGACGGGUUGUUAAGUCAGUUGUGAAAGUUUGCGGCUCAACCGUAAAAUUGCAGUUGAUACUGGCAGCCUUGAGUACAGUAGAGGUAGGCGGAAUUCGUGGUGUAGCGGUGAAAUGCUUAGAUAUCACGAAGAACUCCGAUUGCGAAGGCAGCCUGCUAGACUGUAACUGACGCUGAUGCUCGAAAGUGUGGGUAUCAAACAGGAUUAGAUACCCUAGUAGUC